GCCGAAAUAGCUCAGUUGGGAGAGUGUUAGACUGAAAAUCUAAAGGUCCCUAGUUCAAUCCUGGAUUUCGGCA
rnacentral:tRNA from 1 species